rnacentral:rRNA from 1 species
GACGAACGCUGGCGGCGUGCUUAACACAUGCAAGUCGAACGGAAAGGCCCUGCUUUUGUGGGGUGCUCGUGUGGCGAACGGGUGUGUAACACGUGAGUAACCUGCCCUUGACUUUGGGAUAACUUCAGGUAACUGGGGCUAAUACCGGAUAGGAGCUCCUGCUGCAUGGUGGGGGUUGGAAAGUUUCGGCGGUUGUGGAUGGACUGGCGGCUUAUCAGCUUGUUGGUGGGGUAGUGGCUUACCAAGGCUUUGACGGGUAGACGGCAUGAGAGGGUGACCGGCCACAUUGGGACUGAGAUAAGGCGCAGACUCCGACGGGAGGCAGCAGUGGAGAAUAUUGCACAAGGGGCGGAAGCCUGAUGCAGCAACGCAGCGUGCGGGAUGACGGCCUUCGGGUUGUAAACCGCUUUCGCCUGUGACGAAGCGUGAGUGACGGUAAUGGGUAAAGAAGCACCGGCUAACUACGUG